CCAGAGAUGGCGGGCCCCCGCGCCCCCGUCCCCAACCCUUUGUCGACCAAAACCACUUUUGCCUCGGGGGUGGAGCGGCCUCCGCCGCCCCCGGUGGACCAUUUAACCCUGUCUCUGUACGUCGGAGUCUUUGAUAAAUAAAUGA
rnacentral:misc_RNA from 1 species